rnacentral:rRNA from 1 species
AUGACCUUCAAUCUAGUUGAAAAGACAAUUGAAGAAUUAGGUGUUGAACAUGUGGUGCAGGUUGUGAAUGACAAUGCUUUGAACAACAUGGGGGCUAAGGAUCUCUUGAAAGUGAAGAGGCCGAAGAUAUUUUGGAGCUCAUGUGUGACUCACACUAUCAAUUUGAUGCUCCAAGGGAUUGGUAACUUAGCGAAGUUCAAGAAGAUAAUUGAUCAAGCCAAGUCUUUCACAAUAUUUGUGUAUGGGCACCAUCGCACCUUAGAGUGCAUGAGAUCCUUCACCAAGAAGAGAGAAAUCAUAAGGCUAGGAGUAACUAGAUUUUCUUCUCAAUUCCUCACUUUGCAAAACCUUGUAGACAAGGCUGAUUCACUAAGAAAGGUGGUGUUUUCAUCUAAGUGGGAUGAGAUCAAGGAUGUGCACUCAAAGAAAGGAAAGGAUGCUACAGCCAUAAUUCUCAACAAGCCCUUUUGGAAGGGUGUGAAUCUUUGCAUCAAGGUGUUCGAGCCAUUGGUGACGGUCCUUCGGUUGGUUGAUGGUGAUGCACGACCCUUAAUGGGCUUUCUGUACGGAGAGAUUGCGAAGGCAAAGAAAUAA